rnacentral:lncRNA from 1 species
CUGUUCACUUGCAAGAGUGUGUAAAAAAAACACAUCAUGACUAUAGCAGCAAUUUUUCUGCACUGACAAUUGCUAAAACAUUGGAAAAAUGUACAUGAUCAAUAAAAAGUUUACAAAAAAUAUUCCACAUUAGUUCUACAUGUACAAAGUAAUGAAUCAUCCAAUCAAUAUUCCAUAAGAUCAUGAUUAUUACAUUAUUUAUCCCUUACUGGAACGCAGCUUGCAGAGAUGUCGACGAACAACAUUUUGGGACGGAAGUAACACAAUACAUGCAAACACGCUAAGUAAGCUCAUACUAAAUCAAAAUAUCACAAAAGAAAUUGAAAACACAAGAAAAUGAUCAUGGUUGAACUGUCAUGUGGUCUCGCACCAGCUGCAUUUAAGUGUUUUCCAUAUUAAGAUGUCUUUGCGAUGAGCAUGUACACAUGGCUUGGAUGUUGGGACUACUGGUAUUGAGGAGCAUAUGAACAACAGAGCUGGCCUAAUUUACUGACGUGUACACAUCCAUUAUCCUUAUAAAGGUACACAUAUUGAAUCCUGGCUCAUGUAAUGCAAGCCACGUUUCACAACGCGUGUGUGCGCAUGUUUUGGUUAAUCUAGCAUGGGAACAAAAUAAUAAUGAGCCUGAAAUAUCAUGUUAAAAAUAAAAAUGAAUAACCCCCAUAGUGUUUAUACUGUACAUUGCAAUCAUGCUUUUACACAUACUGAAAUGAAAAGAAAACCCCCAAAUGUUAGAUUUCCUUCUCUUUUUUUUUACAAGAUAUCUUUUCAAAGUAGGUCAUACAUUUAUGGAAAGUCAAGACAGUAAGUGUUCCCCUCCCCCUCUAGAAAUGUAAUUUAAAACAAUUGCAGUGACAUGACUCUGUGCAGUAUUUUGUAGGAAGUAAAUUGUUAUAGAAUGCUUUUGUGAAUGAACAUUGUGAAUUAAUUGAACUAAUACAGCUCCUGUAUUUAGCCAACAGCCUUUCUGUUAAUCAGUAUUUCAUAGCGGUAACCCUGACACCUACAGGGAGCUUUCAGAACUUACAACACUGCAACUGGAUGCACAGAAAUGUAGAAUCCAAGGCUUCAGAGUCAACGAAGUCGAUAAAUAUCCAUUCAUUCAUUGCAAUGAAUAUGUGAAUCGCUGUCAGAAAAUCAAUUUCAAAACAAGACAUACAAGACAUACUUUCUAGGUCCUUUGAGUGUCAUGAGUCACAGCACAUUCCAAAUAAAGUUAACUACAAGUAACCUUGAAUAAGAUAUGGUAUUAUUUGUUGAAGUCAUAAAUAUGAUGUCUGUUACUGUCACCUCUCAAGUCCCACCUAUCCACAAUAUUCCUCCCAGCCUCCAUGUAGUCUUUAUGGGUUUCCUCUGGGUGCUUUUAUAAAGUCACAGUCCCUAGUCAACCAUACUGUUUCUGCUGUACUCAAGAUAUAGGAAGUCAGCUUUAAUUAGCAUAUAUAUUCCUGGAGGCCCGAGGAAGGAUGGAAAAUUCCUGGGAGUCUGC